rfam:Gossypium hirsutum cultivar TM-1 chromosome 6, whole genome shotgun sequence
UCUAUUUGUAUUGUUAAAAACUAGAAUAACUGAUAGAAUAAUCAGACAAUGAUACACGACGUGUGCGAUGUGUACCUCUUGUUGAUGUAUAAAGAUUAAUUUUUAACAAUAGAAAUGAA